GCCAGGGUAGCUCAGUGUAUAGAGCGUUGGUCUGCAGACUCAAGGGUCCGGGUUUGAUUCCAGUCAAGGCA
rnacentral:tRNA from 1 species